UGUCGCAAAAGUAAUUGCAGUUUUUGCUUUUGAAAGUAAUGGCAAAAACUGCAAUUACUUU
ensembl:miRNA